rnacentral:lncRNA from 1 species
AAGCGCUUUAGCAUUUUGUUGCUUUAAUUUCUUACGUACCUCGGAUGAGGAUGUCUUGUCGAUAUCUUCUCCUGGCAUGGUGAUUCUUUCUUCAAUGACAUCCCAAAGAUCAUGGGAUUCAAGGCAAGUCUUCAUACGAACACUCCAAUAGUCAUAGUUUUCUCCAUUGAAUAUUGGAGUCGUGAUGGAGAGACUUGACGACGCCAUAACGCCCGCUUAUGAUCGAACAAGCUCUGAUGCCACUUGUUAGGAAAUGGAGGUGAUUAUAUAGAGGUUUUGAGUGUGGUGAGUGAUUGUAGUGAAGUGGUGUAGAGAAUAUUGUGAGUGUAGUGUGUGUAGAAGAUAGAGAGAAUGAUUUUAGAGUGGAGCUCUUGUCUCCAAAGAACUUAGAUAAUAUUAUAGAUAGAGUAAUGUUUUUGAGAUGUUUUUUGACUAUGUG